UACGAAGGGGGCUAGCGUUAAUCGGAAUUACUGGGCGUAAAGCGUGCGCAGGCGGUGAGCUGUGUCCGAUGUGAAAGCCCCGGGCUUAACCUGGGAAUGGCAUUGGAAACUGGCUCGCUGGAGUGUGGCAGAGGGGGGUGGAAUUCCGCGUGUAGCAGUGAAAUGCGUAGAGAUGCGGAGGAACACCGAUGGCGAAGGCAGCCCCCUGGGCUAACACUGACGCUCAGGCACGAAAGCGUGGGGAGCAAACAGG
rnacentral:rRNA from 1 species